rnacentral:rRNA from 1 species
GAUGAACGCUGGCGGCGUGCCUAAUACAUGCAAGUCGAGCGAACAGACGAGGAGCUUGCUCCUCUGACGUUAGCGGCGGACGGGUGAGUAACACGUGGAUAACCUACCUAUAAGACUGGGAUAACUUCGGGAAACCGGAGCUAAUACCGGAUAAUAUAUUGAACCGCAUGGUUCAAUAGUGAAAGACGGUUUUGCUGUCACUUAUAGAUGGAUCCGCGCCGCAUUAGCUAGUUGGUAAGGUAACAGCUUACCAAGGCGACGAUGCGUAGCCGACCUGAGAGGGUGAUCGGCCACACUGGAACUGAGGCACGGUCCAGACUCCUACGGGAGGCAGCAGUAGGGAAUCUUCCGCAAUGGGCGAAAGCCUGACGGAGCAACGCCGCGUGAGUGAUGAAGGUCUUCGGAUCGUAAAACUCUGUUAUUAGGGAAGAACAAAUGUGUAAGUAACUAUGCACGUCUUGACGGUACCUAAUCAGAAAGCCACGGCUAACUACGUG